GAAGGAUGCUUCAGUGCUGGAGCACAGUGAGACAGGGGCUGCCGGAGAGAAAGCUCCCCUUUAAAAGAUAACAAACGUCUACUAUUUACAAGUCCAUCUACCAUUCAAGAUUAAACAAGGAACUGCAUAAGCUAAAUCCAAUGUAACCCAGUACAAGAAGUGAUGUUAGUACAGACAAUAGAAGGCAAAAGCUGAGAAAAGAUUUGAAAAGCAAAACUGUUAUUAACAGUAUACAUUUCAGGACUAUAUUUCAGGUAAUAAUUAGGAAAUUAUUAUUCAACAAGCUGGAAUAUUGCCCCCUAGAUAUUGCUUAAUAGCGCUGUGAGUACACUGUGAGACUCCAAAAUAAAUUUUGUUCUCUGAUUUCAUCCACCUUAUGUUGCAGCA